rnacentral:rRNA from 1 species
GAUGAACGCUGGCGGCGUGCCUAAUACAUGCAAGUCGAGCGAACAGACGAGGAGCUUGCUCCUCUGACGUUAGCGGCGGACGGGUGAGUAACACGUGGAUAACCUACCUAUAAGACUGGGAUAACUUCGGGAAACCGGAGCUAAUACCGGAUAAUAUAUUGAACCGCAUGGUUCAAUAGUGAAAGACGGUUUUGCUGCCACUUAUAGAUGGAUCCGCGCCGCAUUAGCUAGUUGGUAAGGUAACGGCUUACCAAGGCAACGAUGCGUAGCCGACCUGAGAGGGUGAUCGGCCACACUGGAACUGAGACACGGUCCAGACUCCUACGGGAGGCAGCAGUAGGGAAUCUUCCGCAAUGGGCGAAAGCCUGACGGAGCAACGCCGCGUGAGUGAUGAAGGUCUUCGGAUCGUAAAACUCUGUUAUUAGGGAAGAACAAAUGUGUAAGUAACUAUGCACGUCUUGACGGUACCUAAUCAGAAAGCCACGGCUAAGUACGUG